rnacentral:rRNA from 1 species
AUGGCCGGCGGUGAAGAGCUGAAGCUGCUGGGGUGGUGGGCGCCCGGGGUGAGUCCCUACGUGCUGCGCGCCCAGAUGGCGCUCGCCGUAAAGGGGCUGAGCUACGACUACCUCCCCGAGGACCGCUGGUCCACGAGCGACCUCCUCAUCGCGUCCAACCCCGUGUACAAGAAGGUGCCCGUCCUCAUUCACAACGGCAGGCCCGUCUGCGAGUCGCUGCUCAUCCUGGAGUACCUCGACGACGCCGUCGGCCUUGCCGGCAACGGCAAGCCCAUCCUCCCCGCAGACCCCUACAGCCGCGCCGUCGCUCGCUUCUGGGCCGCCUAUGUGAACGACAAGCUGUUCCCUUCGUGCACCGGGAUCCUCAAGACUACGAAGCAGGAGGAGAGAGCCGGUAAGAUGGAGGAGACCCUGUCCGGGCUCAGACACUUAGAAGCUGUCAUGGCGGAGUGCUCCGAAGGGGAGGCGGAGGCGCCGUUCUUCGGUGGUGACGCCAUCGGGUUCCUCGACAUCGCGCUCGGGUGCUAUCUUCCCUGGUUUGAGGCAGCAGGCCGCCUGGCCGGCUUGGGGCCGAUCAUCGACCCGGCGAGGACGCCGAAACUAGCUGCGUGGGCGGAGCGGUUCAGCGUCGCCGAGCCGAUCAAGGCGCUGCUGCCUGGGGUCGACAAGCUGGAGGAGUACAUCACUACGGCGCUUUAUCCAAAGUGGAACAUCGCGGUCACCGGCAACUAA